GGUAGGCCUGGCAAAAGCUGACCCAACCCGACCCGAACCCGACCCGAACCCGACCUGAAAAUAGCGGGUUUGGGUUGAGGUUUUCAACCCGAUUAGUUAAAUGGGUCGACCUGAACCCGACCUGAAAGUUAAAUGGGUCAGGUUCAGGUCGAAUUUUCUGACCUGACAUUGACCCGCCUGACAUGAUAAGAAUGAUUAAACUAAAAAAAAAAUAUUAGUGUUCGGCCGUUUGCCACUUUGCCCAGCCCAAAGAUAUCCCAGCCCAAUAACUAUAUUCUAAGUUUCUAACGCUACCUCUCACUCUCUCUCAUUCUCAUAAAGUCAUAACCCUAAAUUUCUAAUGCAAAUCUCGGUCUCAACUCUCUCUCUCCUAAGUCCUAACCCUAAAUUUCUAGCGCCUCUCUUUCUCACUCUCUCUCAUAGAUGAAAUCUCUCAGUCUUUCACUCUCUCUCACACAGUCUUCUUCGGUGCUCUUCUUCAACAUUUGAUGUUCUUCGUCUCGCAAAGUCGCAAUAAAUCUCUCAAUUUCGUCUCGCAAGUGCAAUUUCGUUGCUUUUCUUCAACAUUUGCUCUUCUUCUUCUCGCAAAGUCGCGCAAUUUGCUGUUCUUCUUCAACAUCAGAGGAGGAGAUUGACUACAAAUGCUGUGAAACACUGAAACCUCAACAAUGUUUUUUUGAGUUGUGGACUUGUGGUUGUAUAAGAUACAUUAUAUAUUGUUGUUUUAUUUUGUAAAACUUUGCUAAACUGUUUUGUAAUAUUGCCAAGUAUGAAUUUGGUUACCUAGAACUUGGUAGAAGUAUGUAAUAUUGCCAAGUAUAAACUUGGUUAGCUAAUACUUUGACGAAA